UUAAGUUUGAUCGCAGACAAUCAGGUACCUCAGGAUAUCUCAGCUGCUUCUCUAGAUACUCUUUGCAGUGCUUGUCUCACACUUUCAGCUGUGCCUGAAGCUCACCUGAAUCAGGGUAAUGAUUCUCAGGAAGGGAAAAUGGGAAAUAGUCAGAAAACUAUCCACAGUCAGAGAGAAAAGUUACUGUCUGCAGGGCAGGAAAGUUCAGUAUUUAGACUUUGUAACAGACUUUGGAAAUUUCUAGUGUAGUUGGUUGUAUGAAGCCUAGAGCAAGGUUGGAUCCGAAGCACACUGAAUUUCUAGGUGCAACUGUGCCAGCAGGAAAAUAUUCCCACAAGGAAGGGAAUGGGAAGAAGAUGCCACUGCCAAACUCACUCUUCAUGGAAAAUGUCAUAGUGGGAGGCAGCUUGUCGAGGACAAGGAAUUGUUGUUUCCUGCUUUUCCUCCAUUUCUCUGCGACACAACUCACUGUUGCCUCAUCUCAUCACCUCUGAAUCUACCCCAUCAGUUCACCUGGCAGCCAUUCCUCCCAGACAACCCUGCCUCUGUUCUACCUCUGAAGGUGGUCACAAGCUACAAAAGAUACUGCAAUUUGUCAAGAUGUGCUAUUUAUGUGCACUAUUUAUGCCAGGAAAUUCUCACCUUUUCCUUUGGCCAUUGCUCUGAAGAAAGGUGACACCAGCCUGCCAGAAACAUCUUCGGGGUGUGUGGUCAUGCCAUCCUUCACUGCUUGAAAUCCAUUCAGAAUAACCACUGGGGCCCAUCCAAACCAUAAGGUGAAGAUGUUGCCAUGAAUUUUUGCCAGCUAGAGAUGGGAGAGAAGCCAGGAAAACACAGAUGAAAUCCCACACACUGCAAACAGAGGAUGAACCUGUUCUUUCACUGAUUACAGGACCAGCCCUAAGACCAAACCAGCAGUUCUGAACCAAACCAAGUGUGAUAUCACAGUGGCCAGUUAACAGUUACAGUACUACCAAUGUAGUUUUGGGAGAGGAUGUUUUCACACAGCAAGCAACAUGAGAAAGAAGAAAUCACAAAGGCUUUUAGACAAUUAGGAGUAUCUGAAAAUAAGUACCUGCAUGAGAAGGUCACGAUUAAACUGAAAGUUCAGCUGUAUCAGUGUCCCAAGGACUGGGAGAGGGACUGGUCCAGGAGGAAACCGUUUCCGCACUCGCUGCAACUUUAAAAACUGCGCAAUUAGAAGAAAUGCAGCCACUGCUACAAGAACUUCACUUAUGCUCAACAUUUUUGUGUCUGCCUUUAUUCAAAAUUGUCUAUUGAAGCUAUUAAGGCUGGUUGCUAAACCAGUUUUUUCAUUAGAGCUUGAAUUCACAUAAUAAAUAUUCCCCGCCUCUAACCCUACCUCUUUAUUAUCAACCACUCCCUUUUUGUUCCACUCAUUAUGUUCUCAUGCUCCAGCAUAUUAAUAGAUGCACACCCUUCUUCUUCUCAUCCAGAUUAUACUCAUUCAGUAUGGAUCACAGCAUUUGUAGGAAUGGUGUCUUAAAAGACUUGGGCCAAGAUUUUCCAGGCAAUGAAGAUGCACGUAAAUUCUCCAUCUAGUUUUUCUGAGCCAAUUUUGAAUGGUAUGUGUUCCUACAAAUAGUCCAGGAAUGCUUUUAGAAAAGCAAUAGCCAUACAUACAAAUUAAGCAGGCAAAUGUAAGUGGAUAUUAAAUCUUGGAGUUUUUAAAUUGGUUUGUAUAUGUUCUACGUACCCGUUAUAUCUAAUAAUGGCAAGGCUGAUAGAAGUUAAAAGCCCACACUUAUCUUAAGAUAUAUAUACAACUAUCUAAUGCUUAAUACAAAAAGCAAAAUUUGUUACACUCUUGAAUAUAAUUGAAAACAUAACUGGAUUAAUGUAUGACCUUACUUUUUUCCCUAACAUGUUAGCACUAGGAAAACUCACAGAGGGUUUUGUCUGCUUCUGCAUUUCCCCAUUCAGUCUUGACAUAAGGUGGGUACCCCAUAUGAUUUGAGAAAUCAUCAGAAAGUAUGUGAGAUAAAUAAUGCAUAUUCAUGGAGAAAGUACAUCAGGUGUUAAAUAUACAGAUUUAAAAGAAAAAAAAUUAAAACAUGAGAAAAACCUAGUAGGGAUCUUGAGCUACCACCAGGCCUCAACAAGAACUAGUCAUGACAUGAGUGUGGAUCCUUGGUAACUUGAAAACAGAGUCUGUAGCCAAGGCUCUUUGCCAAGCCUCAACACCACAAGCAGGAACCACAAACACGGCACCAGGGGAUUUCACAGGCUGCAAACAGACCAUGAAAACCUCACAAGAGGGGUUCUGGGUACCACAUAACCAUGACCAUUGCAGUCCCCUGUUACAGAUCCAGACGGAAAUGCUUCCCUUUCAAAAUUGCCCAUCCCUUGAGGGCAAAG